AACGAACGCUGGCGGCAGGCCUAACACAUGCAAGUCGAGCGGACCUUUCGGGGUCAGCGGCGGACGGGUGAGUAACGCGUGGGAAUAUGCCCUUCUCUACGGAAUAGUCCUGGGAAACUGGGGGUAAUACCGUAUACGCCCUUUGGGGGAAAGAUUUAUCGGGGAAGGAUUAGCCCGCGUUGGAUUAGGUAGUUGGUGGGGUAAUGGCCUACCAAGCCGACGAUCCAUAGCUGGUUUGAGAGGAUGAUCGGCCACACUGGGACUGAGACACGGCCCAGACUCCUACGGGAGGCAGCAGUGGGGAAUCUUAGACAAUGGGGGCAACCCUGAUCUAGCCAUGCCGCGUGAGUGAUGAAGGCCUUAGGGUUGAAAAGCUCUUUCAGCUGGGAAGAUAAUGACGGUACCAGCAGAAGAAGCCCCGGCUAACUCCGUG
rnacentral:rRNA from 1 species